UACAGAGGUCUCAAGCGUUGUUCGGAUUCAUUGGGCGUAAAGGGUGCGUAGGCGGGUCUUUAAGUCAGGGGUGAAAUCCUGGAGCUCAACUCCAGAACUGCCUUUGAUACUGGCGAUCUCGAGUCCGGGAGAGGUGAGUGGAACUGCGAGUGUAGAGGUGAAAUUCGUAGAUAUUCGCAAGAACACCAGUGGCGAAGGCGGCUUACUGGUCCGGUUCUGACGCUGAGGCGCGAAAGCGUGGGGAGCAAACAGG
rnacentral:rRNA from 1 species